CGGACGGGUGAGUAAUGUCUGGGAAACUGCCCGAUGGAGGGGGAUAACUACUGGAAACGGUAGCUAAUACCGCAUAACGUCGCAAGACCAAAAGGGGGACCUUAGGGCCUCUUGCCAUCGGAUGUGCCCAGAUGGGAUUAGCUAGUAGGUGGGGUAAUGGCUCACCUAGGCGACGAUCCCUAGCUGGUCUGAGAGGAUGACCAGCCACACUGGAACUGAGACACGGUCCAG
rnacentral:rRNA from 1 species